CAGUAGCCGCGGUAACACAGAGGGUGCGAGCGUUAAUCGGAUUUACUGGGCGUAAAGCGUGCGUAGGCGGCUUUUUAAGUCGGAUGUGAAAUCCCUGAGCUUAACUUAGGAAUUGCAUUCGAUACUGGGAAGCUAGAGUAUGGGAGAGGAUGGUAGAAUUCCAGGUGUAGCGGUGAAAUGCGUAGAGAUCUGGAGGAAUACCGAUGGCGAAGGCAGCCAUCUGGCCUAAUACUGACGCUGAGGUACGAAAGCAUGGGGAGCAAACAGGAUUAGAUACCCCCGUAGUCCCUGUCUCUUAUAC
rnacentral:rRNA from 1 species